UUGAACGCUGGCGGCAGGCCUAACACAUGCAAGUCGAGCGGUAGCACAGAGAGCUUGCUCUCGGGUGACGAGCGGCGGACGGGUGAGUAAUGUCUGGGAAACUGCCUGAUGGAGGGGGAUAACUACUGGAAACGGUAGCUAAUACCGCAUAACGUCGCAAGACCAAAGUGGGGGACCUUCGGGCCUCAUGCCAUCAGAUGUGCCCAGAUGGGAUUAGCUAGUAGGUGGGGUAACGGCUCACCUAGGCGACGAUCCCUAGCUGGUCUGAGAGGAUGACCAGCCACACUGGAACUGAGACACGGUCCAGACUCCUACGGGAGGCAGCAGUGGGGAAUAUUGCACAAUGGGCGCAAGCCUGAUGCAGCCAUGCCGCGUGUGUGAAGAAGGCCUUCGGGUUGUAAAGCACUUUCAGCGGGGAGGAAGGCGAUAAGGUUAAUAACCUUGUCGAUUGACGUUACCCGCAGAAGAAGCACCGGCUAACUCCGUGCCAGCAGCCGCGGUAAUACGGAGGGUGCAAGCGUUAAUCGGAAUUACUGGGCGUAAAGCGCACGCAGGCGGUCUGUCAAGUCGGAUGUGAAAUCCCCGGGCUCAACCUGGGAACUGCAUUCGAAACUGGCAGGCUAGAGUCUUGUAGAGGGGGGUAGAAUUCCAGGUGUAGCGGUGAAAUGCGUAGAGAUCUGGAGGAAUACCGGUGGCGAAGGCGGCCCCCUGGACAAAGACUGACGCUCAGGUGCGAAAGCGUGGGGAGCAAACAGGAUUAGAUACCCUGGUAGUCCACGCCGUAAACGAUGUCGAUUUGGAGGUUGUGCCCUUGAGGCGUGGCUUCCGGAGCUAACGCGUUAAAUCGACCGCCUGGGGAGUACGGCCGCAAGGUUAAAACUCAAAUGAAUUGACGGGGGCCCGCACAAGCGGUGGAGCAUGUGGUUUAAUUCGAUUCAACGCGAAGAACCUUACCUGGUCUUGACAUCCACAGAACUUUCCAGAGAUGGAUUGGUGCCUUCGGGAACUGUGAGACAGGUGCUGCAUGGCUGUCGUCAGCUCGUGUUGUGAAAUGUUGGGUUAAGUCCCGCAACGAGCGCAACCCUUAUCCUUUGUUGCCAGCGGUUAGGCCGGGAACUCAAAGGAGACUGCCAGUGAUAAACUGGAGGAAGGUGGGGAUGACGUCAAGUCAUCAUGGCCCUUACGACCAGGGCUACACACGUGCUACAAUGGCAUAUACAAAGAGAAGCGACCUCGCGAGAGCAAGCGGACCUCAUAAAGUAUGUCGUAGUCCGGAUUGGAGUCUGCAACUCGACUCCAUGAAGUCGGAAUCGCUAGUAAUCGUAGAUCAGAAUGCUACGGUGAAUACGUUCCCGGGCCUUGUACACACCGCCCGUCACACCAUGGGAGUGGGUUGCAAAAGAAGUAGGUAGCUUAACCUUCGGGAGGGCGCUUACCACUUUGUGAUUCAUGACUGGGGUG
rnacentral:rRNA from 1 species